rnacentral:misc_RNA from 1 species
UCUGCGAGUUCGCGGGAGAGUAAGUUAUUGCCAGGGUUUUUAUUUUUAUAGUAUUUGAAUAAAACAUUCAAAUACUAUAAAAAUAAAAUAGAUAUUGACAUGGGUUAAACAAAGAUAUAUAUUAUUCUAUGUUACAUAAACAAAUUGGCAAAGUAGAGAUGGAAGAUAAAAAUAUGGUCAAAGUAAUAAGAGUCUAUGGUGAAUGCCUAGGAA